rnacentral:ncRNA from 1 species
CCUGUAAUGGGACUGCCAAGAGGGAAUCACGUGCAAAUCGUGAGCUGUCGCGCAACUGUAAACACGCUGCUGACGGGUGGAAAAAAACCAUUGGGGAGGUUGCCCCUGAGAAGGUUUCUGCCUCGAGGCGACAAGCCAGGAGACCUGCCCCGAACA